rnacentral:lncRNA from 1 species
ACAUGGCGGAGACCAAGAAUCACACCACACACAACCAGUCCUGAAAAUGGCACAGAAACGGUAUCAAGAAACCCCGAUCACAAAGAUAUGACUCUCUUAAGAGGGUGGACCCCAAGUUCCUGAGCAACAUGCACUUUGCCAAGAAGCACAAGAAGGGCCUAAAGAAGAUGCAGGCCAACAAUGCCAAGGCCAUGAGUGCACGCGCUGAGGCUAUCAAGAUCCUCGUAAAGCCCAAAGAGGUUGAGCCUAAGACCCCAAAGGGUGUCAGCUGCAAGCUAGAUCGACUUGCCUACAUUGCCCACCCCAAGCUUGGGAAGCGUGCUCGUGCCCGCAUUGCCAAGGGGCUCAGGCUAUGCCAGCCAAAGGCCAAGGCCAAGGAUCAAACCAAGGCCCUGGCUGCAGCUCCAGCUUCAGUUCCAGCUCAGGCUCCCAGAGGUGCCCAGGGCCCUACAAAGGCUUCAGA